rnacentral:misc_RNA from 1 species
GAUGAAGAACGUAGCGAAAUGCGAUACUUGGUGUGAAUUGCAGAAUCCCGUGAACCAUCGAGUCUUUGAACGCAAGUUGCGCCCGAAGCCAUUAGGCCGAGGGCACGCCUGCCUGGGCGUCACACGUCGUUGCCCCCCCAUCUACUCCUUCGGGAUUGCGAGGGGCGGAUGAUGGCCUCCCGUGCGCCUCGUCGCGCGGUUGGCAUAAAUGCCAAGUCCUCGGCGACGCACGCCACGACAAUCGGUGGUUGCGAAACCUCGGUUGCCCGUCGUGUGCGGUCGUCGCGCAUCGAGGGCUCGAAAAAACUGUCGGGCUCCGGCUCGGCUUUCAACGCGACCCCAGGUCAGGCGGGGUUACCCGCUGAAUUUAAGCAUAUCAAUAAGCGGAGGA